ACGCUCGACACCUACGGGAGACAGCAGUAGGGAAUCUUCCACAAUGGACGCAAGUCUGAUGGAGCAACGCCGCGUGAGUGAAGAAGGUCUUCGGAUCGUAAAACUCUGUUGUUAGAGAAGAACACGAGUGAGAGUAACUGUUCAUUCGAUGACGGUAUCUAACCAGCAAGUCACGGCUAACUACGUGCCAUCAGCCGCAGUAAUCUGAGCGGGCUGGCAAGGC
rnacentral:rRNA from 1 species